UACGAACUGUGCGAACGGUAUUCGGAAUCACUGGGCUUAAAGGGUGCGUAGGCGGCUUGUUAAGUCAGGUGUGAAAUCCCCCGGCUCAACCGGCGAACAGGGCUUGAAACUAGCAGGCUUGAGUGAGGUAAGGGUGUGCGGAACUUCCAGUGGAGCGGUGAAAUGUGUAGAUAUUGGAAGGAACGCCGGUGGCGAAAGCGGCACACUGGGCCUUGUCUGACGCUGAGGCACGAAAGCUACGGGAGUGAACGGG
rnacentral:rRNA from 1 species